AUUGAACGCUGGCGGCAUGCCUUACACAUGCAAGUCGAACGGCAGCACGGGUGCUUGCACCUGGUGGCGAGUGGCGCACGGGUGAGUAAUACAUCGGAACAUGUCCUGUAGUGGGGGAUAGCCCGGCGAAAGCCGGAUUAAUACCGCAUACGAUCUACGGAUGAAAGCGGGGGCCCUUCGGGCCUCGCGCUAUGGGGUUGGCCGAUGGCUGAUUAGCUAGUUGGUGGGGUAAAGGCCUACCAAGGCGACGAUCAGUAGCUGGUCUGAGAGGACGACCAGCCACACUGGGACUGAGACACGGCCCAGACUCCUACGGGAGGCAGCAGUGGGGAAUUUUGGACAAUGGGCGAAAGCCUGAUCCAGCAAUGCCGCGUGUGUGAAGAAGGCCUUCGGGUUGUAAAGCACUUUUGUCCGGAAAGAAAUCCUUGGCCCUAAUACGGUCGGGGGAUGACGGUACCGUAAGAAUAAGCACCGGCUAACUACGUG
rnacentral:rRNA from 1 species